rnacentral:tRNA from 1 species
UCCCUGAUAGCUUAGUUGGUAAAGAAUCCGCCUGCAACGCGGAAGACCAGGGUUCUGAUUCCUGGGUGGGGAA